GAUGAACGCUGGCGGCGUGCCUAAUACAUGCAAGUCGAGCGAACAGACGAGGAGCUUGCUCCUCUGACGUUAGCGGCGGACGGGUGAGUAACACGUGGAUAACCUACCUAUAAGACUGGGAUAACUUCGGGAAACCGGAGCUAAUACCGGAUAAUAUAUUGAACCGCAUGGUUCAAUAGUGAAAGACGGUUUUGCUGUCACUUAUAGAUGGAUCCGCGCCGCAUUAGCUAGUUGGUAAGGUAACGGCUUACCAAGGCAACGAUGCGUAGCCGACCUGAGAGGGUGAUCGGACACACUGGAACUGAGACACGGUACAGACUCCUACGGGAGGCAGCAGUAGGGAAUCUUCCGCAAUGGGCGAAAGCCUGACGGAGCAACGCCGCGUGAGUGAUGAAGGUCUUCGGAUCGUAAAACUCUGUUAUUAGGGAAGAACAAAUGUGUAAGUAACUAUGCACGUCUUGACGGUACCUAAUCAGAAAGCCACGGCUAACUACGUG
rnacentral:rRNA from 1 species